rnacentral:rRNA from 1 species
UACAGAGGCUGCAAGCGUUAUUCGGAUUCACUGGGCGUAAAGGGUGCGCAGGCGGCCAAGUGUGUCAGGUGUGAAAUCCCGGGGCUUAACCCCGGAACUGCGCCUGAAACUACUUGGCUAGAGCAUUGGAGAGGGAAGUGGAAUUCACGGUGUAGCAGUGAAAUGCGUAGAUAUCGUGAGGAACACCAGAGGCGAAGGCGACUUCCUGGACAAUUGCUGACGCUCAGGCACGAAAGCGUGGGGAGCCAAAGGG